UUUUAAUUUUAGCCAUUUUAAAUUAUGCAUGUCCAUAUAGUUUAAUUAAUCAUUUUAUUGUUACAAAGGCGGUUAUUUAUCCAGCUUCAUUUCAGCAAAUUCACAUAUGUAUAAAUCUGCGCAAAAACACGGUCUCCAUUCAAAACGUAUUCUGAUUUCGCAGCAAGAGGAACGAUCGAAGAAUAUUUUCACAAUGGCUUUCAAAUUUGUUACAAUCGUUUUAUUGGCGUGCAUUUUUGGCGCAAAUGCGAGAAGGAUGUCUUUCAGAAAUUGUGGUAUGUAUAGUAAGGUGUUUUAAUUAAUCCUUAAUUAAAGUAAACUAAUUUUAUAGUAACAUAAUGGUCUACUUUUCUACUGUUUUAUACCAAGUAAAGUAAUACUCUACUUUUUAGGCACACCGAGAGCGGACUACAAUCUAAUGCCCCAUUAUGCUUACUGAAAUUGAC